UCGCGCCGCGGCUGCCGUUCGCUAAUAAAACCCCGGGUCCGAAGUGUGCGUUUCAGCCCCGGGGACUGGCCCGGGCGCUCCACCGAGCACUCCCCACCCGUCCCGCGGGCCGGCGUGCCCUGGCGCCUUGGCAGGCGCUGUUCGCCUGGGAACCGGGGGGCUUCGCUCUUCUCUCCGCUGUGAAGCACCUUGCGCAGUGAGCAGGCAGGACCUGCAGGCUCAGGGUCCUUGGCACAUGCUUAGCCUCCGACAGCUGUGGCUGAUACAACGCCUCGUUUUCUAAAGAGAAAAAUAAUGUUUUUUGUCACCUACCGGAAACAGCUGGCCAUACUGUCUUAUCGCCCUGUGACUUUUAUGACGAUUUUUAAGAUGAUCGCAUUUUACGAUGCCGACUUUGGUGGUUUUCGUGGGAGGACACUGAUGAAAUGCAGCCUACCCCUUAGUGGAUCAGAGAAACGAGAACCAUCCUGAUCUUGCUGCCCUAUUAUGCAAGUUUGUCACUUUUGGACUCACAGGAUGCAGUCAUUGACCUGUCCUCCACAUGGGCUCUCCCUACACAGGACUUCACCUGUAUCUGUGUGAGAAAUACUGAGGAGGAAAGAAUAGUGGCUGGAUUUCUGACAACCUAGUUAUAGGAACCAGUGACCUUCAAGGAUGUGGUGAUGGAAUUCACUCAGGAGGAGUGGAUAAUGGUGGACUCUUCUCAGAAAAGUCUGUACAGAGAGGUAAUAUUGGAAAACUAUAAAAAUCUCACCACAGUAGAAUAUCAAUUAUGCAGACCUUCUGUGAGCUCCUUGUUGGAUCAAGAAGACAUAAGAAGUAUGAAAAGGAGAACUCUCCAAGCCAUCUGUCCACACUGGAAGAUUCAACUUAAAACCAGAGAGACAACUCCUAUACAGAAUAUUUUGGAAGAGAAACCAUCUAAUGGAGGGCAAACGAUUCACAAUGAAUGAUUGGUGUUCCACAUUAGAAGACUGGGAAUGUGUUAAGACCAGAACGCAGCACACAAUCCCAGAGGGAUGUUUGAGGUAAGUGACAUAUACCCAAAAGAAAACUAUGUCUCAGAAGAGAUUAUCUGACUAUCAUAAUUAAAAGAAAACUCUAAACUUAGAUCAGAACUUAUUUUUUUUACAGAGUUUUCACGAGUAAACCUUACCAUAAAUAUUACUCAGAUAGUGAAUUAGACACAAUUAAAUUCCAAACAAUUAUGAGAAAGACUAAGUGAGAAGCACUGUGAAAGUCAUGAAUCUGAUCAAGCUCCAGGGUAUUGUGAAAAAACAGAAACACUAAGAAAAAAAUAUGCAUGCUCCAAAUAUGGUAUCCGCCUCAUAAACAGAAUAAUCUGCUUCCUACACAUACCAGUUUUCAUAUGACAGGAAACUCCUGUGAACACAUCAGGAAGAAGAAAACAUUUGAUCAUCAUUCGUCCCUUAAGCAACAAGAACAGAUUCAUACUGGAAAGAAACAAUAUGAAUGUAAUCAAUGUGGAAAAGCCUUUGAAAGGAAAUUCAAUUAUAUUUUGCACGAGAAAAGUCACGUGGGUGAGAGACAAUAUGAAUGUGGAGAAUGUGGGAAAGUAUUCAAUGAUUCCUCCACCUUGAGACAGAAGAACUCACACUGGAGAGAGACCGUAUGAGUGCAGUCAGUGUGGAAAAGCUUUCAGUCAAAAAAACAUCUCUUAAGGCUCAUGAGAGAACUCACACUGGAGAGAAACCCUAUGAGUGUAAUCUGUGUGGAAAAUCUGGUGGCACAAGCUCUUACAUCAUGGUGCACAGGAGAAUACACACUGGGGGGAAGCUCUAUGGGUGCAGGAACUAUGGGGAAGCCUUCAACACCAGCCUCACCUCAAGGUCUCAAGAAGACCCACUGGAGAGAAGCUUUUUGGAUGUGGUGACUGUGGGAAAGCGUUCAGUGGUCUCCUGUCCCUCAGAAUGUAGCCAGAACUCACACUGCGGAGGAGUCCUGCAAAUGUAAGGAGUGUGGGAAGGCCUUCACCGUGUCCUCUUCCCUGAUGAGAUAGUGUGAAUCUACACUGGGGAGAAACCCUACCACUGUCUUCAGUGUGGAAAAGCUUUCAGUCAGAGCUCUUAUUAUACACCGGAGAACUCAUGCUGAGAGAGAAACGCUGUGAGUGUGGAGUGUGUCCUCAUCGUUUUCAUUGUCUUGUGGUGGACUGCGAAUUCAUUAUUCAGUCUUUCUCCUCUAAAAUUAGCAUUUAAGGUUUAAAAUGGCCCUGAAAACACUCCUUUGGCUUUAUAACACAUUUGUCCCAUGUUGUCUAUUUGCUAUGACUUUUUUUAAUCCUUGGCUGUUUACGAUUCCAUAUUUUUAAUAUGAGGCACAUAUGAAGUGUGCCUUUUUGAGUUCUGAGUUGCUGCACUGGUUCACAGUAUUGGGAACACAUGAUGCUACUUUGUUGGUGUUUUCUUGAGAGUUGCCAUCUGGCCCAAAAAGGCAAAUAUUGCUUCUGACCUAACACUGCUCAUCCUUCCUAACUAAUGAAUGCUGUUUUAAGUAAGCAUACCAAUGGAUCUAGUUACAGAACUCUUAAUAGCCUCCUUGUAGCCAAGGGUGACAACAUCCUUCCUGUCCAAUCAGAAAUAGACUGGCAUCACUGGGAGCCAAUUGUUUUGGUUUUUUUUUGCAGAACUCUGCCUUUCUGCCUUCUUUCUUCUCCCUUCAAAGUUAUCAUUCUUGGAGUUGAAUGGAGACAUCUAUCUUGUACCCAGGAGAUUGACAACUGUUGCCUAAAGAUAAUGUAAAAGAAAGGAGAUCCUGCAUCCCCAAAAUAAAUGAAUAGCUGUGCUAGUCCUCCUCCACUAUUUAUU